rnacentral:lncRNA from 1 species
UCCAAAAGGUUAUUACAUUAGGAAGGUUGUAUCUAUUAGCUUGGGAUUGCUCUUGGCUUAUCUCAGUAUUUCUGUUGUACAGAAUCUUCUCUCCAGUAGACAACAGAUGAAUACUAGCUUUGAACCAUUGAGGAUUAUCAACACAUACGGAGCUUUUGGCAGAUUCCAGCUGAACAAGGUCAGACUUAUGCAUCAGAAGUUAAUGCCAUAUUUGCAGAGACUAGUGCCCUCACUGCUAGGAAUGUUGAGGAAAUGUUCAUUGAAAUAACUCGUAAGUUACCACCAGAUUGUUUAACUAGUUUACCAGCUGGUGCCUCUCUCUUAA